UCUCUCUCUCUCUCUCUCCCUGUGCAUCUCUUCCAAGUCGAACAAAUUGGAUCUCUGAUUCUUUAGCUCUGAGCAAAAUAAAUCUCACCACAUAUGCGUAAUUCUCUCUUCUUCUCAAUCUGUCUAUAGCCGUUUCUUCUUGCCAGAUCUAUAUGCUCUAUGCAGAUUAUAAUGUGACGGUGGCUUUCUCCUAUAUCCAAAUCGGAAUUAGAUGGUAUGCCAGAUGGUCAAUUCAUAAUCCUUAUUUAUGCGGAUGAGAUGCUAGAGGUUUAAGUUUUGUUUUCAUCUACUCUUCCGCAGAGGCCAAAACCCUCUCAUCCUCUCAGCAAUGUCGUCGUCGUCUCUCCCCAAACCCCCAACCUAGCCGCUGUCCCUAGAAGCCUCCGACCCCCUCCUCGAUGUCAUUGAGGAGCUCAAGCGCUGCCAGCGCACUGAUGUUGUGUGUGGCUCGCAACACCACCCGCCUUGCGACCACGCAAACGACGAGUUGUGCCAGAGCUUUUCGUUAAGCCCUUCAUCAGUGGCGGAGCCUCUGGUAUGCUCGCUACCUGCGUCAUCCAACCUAUCGAUAUGAUCAAGGUGAGAAUUCAAUUGGAUCAGGGAUCAGCUGGACAAGUUGCCAGGACCAUGAUCAAUGAGGAGGGUUUUGGUUCAUUGUAUAAGUGCUAGCACUUAGAGGAACGGACUAUGGCAAGUCAAAGAUGAGUUAUCCGGGCCAUGAUUUUAGGUUAUUCUUACUAUCUACUAAUCAUUUAAGUAAGUUGUAAUGGAUUAAUCUUUGUAGUUUUAGAUUUCGAACAUUUGAGCCUCUGGCUUGUAAAAGUUUAUAUUCUGGGGAUCCUUCUCAGUUGUUACUGCAUUAUCAUCCAGUGUUGUAAUGUCAAACCUUUCCUGCUAGGAAAUACCAACAAGUUCACUAAUGUUGAUGUGUUUGAUUAAUAAUGCUACUUAUUGGGUUUGCAGCUGAAGUUUCUUUUCCUUUUGGGGGGUGGCUCAAGGGCUAGUUUCUUGUUUCCACUACCACAUUAAUCAGACUUGCUGCUAACUAGUUGUAUUCAUAACUACUCACAAUGUUCUUGCAAGUAUCACUAUUGUAUUAGUGCUUAUUGAAAUUUAAUGCUCAUUGAUUGGCUAAGGGAUAUGAUGAUAUUCGACUUGAUUGAAUUUACUUGAGAAGUGGAUAUUUCACUUGCUAAGUUCUGGUGUGGGUUCUUUAUUUGUUAGAAUAAAAUGCUUAGCCAAUUUACUUACACUUUCUAUAGUUCACUAUGCCCCUUUUUUCAGAACAGUUUUAAUUCUAGUUUGGUUAUUGUAGGAUACUAGUCCUUCCAUGGAAUCCUUAGCUUUGAGCUGUUACAUUGAAGGAUAUUAUUUGGCAAGGAGAAACCAGUGGAGUUAAUGAAGUGCUGCAUUCAUUCAUGAUUGAUAUCCAAUCAGAAUAUUAGUGGAGUAUUCAUUAAGUUAUAUUUUCCAAAUCAUUUUGUAGUCACUUUAGACUUAUUUUGUAUUGUAUAUUAAUGUAUUUUAGUGAGUAAUAUAGUCCUUUUGGUGGUUUUAAGAUGCUUUGGAUAUAUCUUAUUUUUGGAUGGUUUUCAACUUUUAAGGACACCGUUUAUGUAUAAGCAAAGGAUGACUCUUUCAUUUUGUUUUGAGGACACAAGAAAUGUGUCCUAGUAGGGAAAAGAUCGAGGACACAUUUCUAUUGAUAUGAAAACAGAUUUUAUGUGUCUUCUAAUGGAUACAAGGACACU